UGAUGACGAGACGCUAGGGCGUUGAAGCAGUGUAUGUCAGACUUCCAAGAAAAGCUCGCAAUGUCACAAAUAAAAAUGCCUGUACCAUAACCGACACAGGUGGGUAGGUAGAGUAUACUAAGGGGCGCGAGAUAACUCUCUCUAAGGAACUCGGCAAAAUGACUCCGUAACUUCGGGAGAAGGAGUGCCUUAUUUAUAAGGUUGCAAUAACAAGAUCCAAGCAACUGUUUAUCAAAAACACAGGUCUCCGCUAAGUCGUAAGACGGUGUAUGGGGGCUGACGCCUGCCCAGUGCCAGAAGGUUAAAGAAGUUGGUUAGUGUAUGCGAAGCUGAUGACUGAAGCCCUGGUGAACGGCGGCCGUAACAAUAACGGUCCUAAGGUAGCGAAAUUCCUUGUCGGGUAAGUUCCGACCCGCACGAAAGGCGUAAUGAUUUGGAUACUGUCUCGGAGAGAGGCUCGGUGAAAUAGACUUGUCUGUGAAGAUGCGGACUACCUGCACCAGGACAGAAAGACCCUAUGAAGCUUUACUGUAACUUGAAAUUGGAAUUGGACUUUGCUUGCGCAGUAUAGGUGGGAAGCGUUGAAAAUAUUCUUGCGGGAGUAUUGGAGCUAUCAGUGAGAUACCACUCUUGUAAUGUUAGAUUUCUAACUUUGAACCAUAAUCUGGUCAAAGAACAGUUUCAGGUGGGCAGUUUGACUGGGGCGGUCGCCUCCCAAAUGGUAACGGAGGCGUACAAAGGUUUCCUCUGAACGGAUAGAAAUCGUAUCUAGAGUGUAAAGGCAUAAGGAAGCUUGACUGUGAGACCUACAAGUCGAGCAGGGACGAAAGUCGGUCUUAGUGAUCUGACGGUACUGAGUGGAAAGGCCGUCACUCAACGGAUAAAAGUUACUCUAAGGAUAACAGGCUGAUCUCCCCCAAGAGUUCACAUCGACGGGGAGGUUUGGCACCUCGAUGUCGGCUCAUCGCAUCCUGGGGCGGUAGUACGUCCUAAGGGUUGGGCUGUUCGCCCAUGAAAGCGGUACGCGAGCUGGGUUCAGAACGUCGUGAGACAGUUCGGUCCAUAUCCGGUGUAGGCGCUAGAAUAUUGAGAGGAGCCUUCUUUAGUACGAGAGGACCGAGAAGGACACACCGCCGGUGUACCAGUUAUCGUGCCAACGGUAAACGCUGGGUAGCUAUGUGUGGAGUGGAUAACCGCUGAAAGCAUCUAAGUGGGAAGCCCACCUCGAGAUGAGUAUUCCC
rnacentral:rRNA from 1 species